rnacentral:misc_RNA from 1 species
CUAAGGAGCACCACGAAAAGCACCCCAAUUGGUGGGGUGCAAGCCGUGAGGGGUUCUCGCCUGUAGUGGGCGGGGCCGGGUGCGCAACAGCAAAUGAUUGCCAGACACACUAUUGGGCCCUGAGGCAACACUCGGAUCGAUUGAGUGCUUGUCCCCCCAUCUUGGUGGUGGGGUGUGGUGUUUGAGAACUGGAUAGUGGUUGCGAGCAUCUAAACGAAUGCGUUGCCUCCGAAAUGGAGUGCGGCGGAUUCGUUGAAAUGUGUAAUUUUUCUUUGGUUUUUGUGUUUGUAAGUGCUUAAGGGCGCAUGGUGGAUGCCUUGGCGAA